rnacentral:tRNA from 1 species
GCGGCUGUAGUAUAGUGGCAAUACGCGAGCUUCCCAAGCUUGAGCGGAGGGUUCGAUUCCCUCCAGCCGCACCA